rnacentral:lncRNA from 1 species
UGCAAUUAAGGGUGUCACACAAUCAUUUCACACCAUUCACCAAAUAACUGUCAUGCUCUUUUUAUUAAUUCAAAACAUAAAGCAUUUGCACAAUACGCAGCGGAUAGAAAUCAAAUCAAUCAUGCAAAACAUGUAACACAUUACAUGUAAAAUUAUUCAACAAGGUAAAACAUCCUGUCCCGAUGUUACAUCUAUCAGAGCAUGACCCACUAAGGAGACUACACUAGACUCCAAGCACUAGCUUCUACUCAAUCACUGCUCGUUACCUGAAAAAUAGUUGUAAGGGUGAGUUCCUCAAUCGAUAUAAUAAGCAUUAUAAAAUAUCAUGUAAUGCUAAGUAAAUAACACAUUAAUCACCCUAAUCAUAUCACACAUCGGUAACGGCACAUCAACUCAAAUGGCAUACUCAAUACCAACACAAUUCAUACUCAUACCCAAUGCCAACACAAACACACGUAUAAUAUUGGAAUACUCCAUUCAUAUUAUACGUCAUACAUACAUUAUGCCAUGAGACUCCAUGCAUCCGGUACCGACUAUUCGUGAACAUAUAGUUCACCUCACCGAUCAAAUCCAGAUACGGCUACCAAGCCCACUAGUCCCACUCAUUUGAGACCUAGUGACUCACUCACUAAUUUCUCACCACGGAAAUUAGCUACACCAACUCACUAAUUCCUCACUAUGGGAAUUAGCUACCACCAACUCACUAAUUCCUCACUAUGGGAAUUAGCUACCACCAUAAAGACUACAAUAUGCAUACUAAAUCACUAGCAAUGCAAAAUCAUCAACAUAAUCCACAAUGGACAUAUGCUCACACUCUAAGCCAUAAACAGUCCACUCACAAUUGCAUACAUAACAUAUACAUUCACAGCAUUAUGCAUACCAUCAUACAUUCAUCAAUACACGUAUCAAAACAUCAUAUCAUGUCAAAUAAUUAAUCACAGUAUUAGCACCCUCCACUAAUACCUAUACUGCUCAAAACAGCGGGAAUUAAUCCUAUUACAUCAUACGCUAAUAUAGGCCAAACACCAAUUAUGCACACAUUAUUCAAAUAUUAAUUUUUCACUUUUCCAACAGUGUUAACCGGUUAACGCAACACAGAACACGCUUUCUGGCAAAACUCAACAGUGUUAACCGGUUAACGCCCUGGUUAACCGGUUAACGCAGACAGAACAACAAAUUUUCACAACUCACAACAGUGUUAACCGGUUAACGCCCUGGGUUAACCGGUUAACGCAAGCAAAACAACAAUACCUCACAAUUCCUAACAGUGUUAACCGGUUAACACCCUGGGUUAACCGGUUAACGCAAGACAGAAAGUUGUUCCUGCGCUAACACGAAGCAGAAUGCAGAAUUCUCCGCAUUUUCCGCCGUUGGAGGACUUCCGGACCUCCGAUUCCGAUUCCGUAAAAAGCUAUACGUUCGGAAAUCACAAUCACACAAAUACAGAUUCAAUUACAGCUUUAACACAACUUAUCCAACACAAAUUUUCAGCAUUCAACAUCCCAAUUAGGGUCAAUUCAACGGUUUAUCACUACCCAUUACAUGUUAACCCAUAAUACCCAUUAAACGACGAUAAACCCCUUACCUGAGUUAAUCCGGCGAAUCUUUAAGCUUCAAGCUUUUCUCUUCUCCAACCUUCUUC